AGUGAACGCUGGCGGUAGGCCUAACACAUGCAAGUCGAACGGCAGCACAGGAGAGCUUGCUCUCUGGGUGGCGAGUGGCGGACGGGUGAGGAAUACAUCGGAAUCUACUCUGUCGUGGGGGAUAACGUAGGGAAACGUACGCUAAUACCGCAUACGACCUACGGGUGAAAGCAGGGGAUCUUUGGACCUUGCGCGAUUGAAUGAGCCGAUGUCGGAUUAGCUAGUUGGCGGGGUAAAGGCCCACCAAGGCGACGAUCCGUAGCUGGUCUGAGAGGAUGAUCAGCCACACUGGAACUGAGACACGGUCCAGACUCCUACGGGAGGCAGCAGUGGGGAAUAUUGGACAAUGGGCGCAAGCCUGAUCCAGCCAUACCGCGUGGGUGAAGAAGGCCUUCGGGUUGUAAAGCCCUUUUGUUGGGAAAGAAAUCCAGCUGGCUGAUACCCGGUUGGGAUGACGGUACCCAAAGAAUAAGGACCGGCUAACUACGUGCCAGCCGCCGCCGUAA
rnacentral:rRNA from 1 species